CUGGGGCAGAGGAUGAAGCAGUGCUGUGGCUUCCAUUGCAUUAGGAAGACUCCUGUGGAGGCAGAAUUGAAAUUCAGGAUGUCAGUGGAAGAGAGAAGAAAACCAGAGAAGACCUAGAGAAGAACACCAUGCUCUACCUUUUCUGCCACACGUCACCAUGGCAGCAUCUCUUGGCCCUCUGUCCCAGGCGGGGGCAGAAAUCAUCCUCUAGGAAAUCAAACUGGAGCUUCAAUCGCAGAUAUAGAAAAUCAAGCAGGACUUCCGAGACUUCAAGGAGAAACCCUUUAUAUCAGAAACUACUGCCUACUCCCUAGCCAACCAACUGCACAAAUACAAGUGUGAACAGUCCACCAACAUCACUGAAUCCGUGUUGGGGAAGGAGAAACUGUUUGAGACAGGCAAGUAGGCAGACACGUUGGCUGAGAAGCUCAGGUAAGAAGGGCUCUGUGUGGGCGGCUGAGGGAAACUGCGGGCAUCUCUGACUUGGGGUAGCAGCAAGUCUGGGCCUGGAGAAGGGCAGAAACCAUCAUGGCAGGCAUGUUAUACAAACAUAUCUAAAACAAUUUAGGUAACAGUGAUUGGCAAACCACAGACUCCAAUGCCUCAGAGCCUCAUUCUCUCUUUUGAAAAAAAAAAUCAAAUUUACCAAAUUCAAGGGAACAAUUUGUGACAUUUAGCACAUUGACAAUGUUGUGAGAUUAGCACCUCAUUUACCGUUUACACUGUCAGGACUUGGCUGACUACAGCCUGCCAUCCUUUCUCUCAGAAAAUGCUGUCUU